rnacentral:sRNA from 21 species
UGUAUUCCUUAUCUGUUAUCUAUUUUUUAAUGUUUAUGUGGAGCCUAUCUUCGCGCUACUUUCUACAAAAUAGCGAGAAGAUAGGCCCUGCUGUUGUUGCCGCUAGAACUCUCACA